ACCGAGCUCAGUUACGAGAGCUUGUAACCCGAGUGGGGGCAUUAAAGUGAUGUGGACGCUGUUGUAGCGCUGCGGGCCUGGUUUGGGUGUGCUACUGCUGGCCCGCCCGUUUCAAGUUGUGUAGUGGACCGGCUGGGGCCUAUGCGAAAGCUGGGCCUCACGGUCCAUAAUGUGGCAGGCACAGCGUGAGGCUGGCUUCACAGAGCAGCGACAACUGCCCGCUUCCAACGGUGGAAGGAUAACGGGCCGCUGCACUCCUUGGCCGCUUGGGCCUCGCAGCCUACUCAAUUAUGAGUAUUUCAUUCUU
rnacentral:SRP_RNA from 1 species